GAUGAACGCUAGCGGCAGGCUUAAUACAUGCAAGUCGAACGGUAAGGUCCCUUCGGGGAUACACGAGUGGCGAACGGGUGCGUAACGCGUACACGAUCUACCUUCAACAGGGGGAUAGCCUUUGGAAACGAAGAUUAAUACCCCAUAGUAAUGCGGAACUGCAUGGUUCUGUAUUUAAAGCUCCGGCGGUUGAAGAUGGGUGUGCGUCCCAUUAGGUAGUUGGUGAGGUAACGGCUCACCAAGCCGACGAUGGGUAGCUGUUCUGAGAGGAAGAUCAGCCACACGGGCACUGAGACACGGGCCCGACUCCUACGGGAGGCAGCAGUAAGGAAUAUUGGGCAAUGGAGGCAACUCUGACCCAGCCAUGCCGCGUGCAGGAUGACUGCCCUCUGGGUUGUAAACUGCUUUUAUAUAGGAAUAAACCCUUUCAUUUAUGGGAGGCUGAAGGUACUAUAUGAAUAAGCACCGGCUAACUCCG
rnacentral:rRNA from 1 species